AAGAACUGACAGAGGGCAUUGGAAUAGAGGAUGAUUAUAACACUGAAGACCGAGAGGUCCUUCCCCUUGAGUGUAAGGAUGUGUAAGAUAUUGAUAGUCCUGAUGUGAAAGCAGAGCUUCCCUCCCACCUCAGCAUCACUAAGGAUGUUAUGGAGCGCUGCAUUCAUCUGCUGUCUGAUCCCAGCCUCAGGCUCCGACUCAAGGUACGGACGUGCUGGAGUUGUGCCUUCAGGUGCUGAGUGAGAGGGAAAAUGAACUGCUGCCUAUGGCUCAUCGCUGCUGGCCAGCACUCCUGCAGACACUCACAGCCGAUGACCCAUUAGCAGUCCUCAGAGCCUUCAGGGGCUGCCGUGCAGGUCACCUACAGCUCCACCAGUCACACGUCUGUACGAUCAGGGGAGCCCACUGGAGACAAGUCCACAGGAAGCAUGUGGAAGAUGAUUCUGGUGCUGCUGCCUUUAGCUGUGUUAUCAGCUGUGUGCUACUACGCCUACGCCUACAUCGUGUGAUGAACAGUGGAAGGAUUGUUCCAUCGAUGUCACAUCGAGAUUCUUUUUUUGUGCUUCACCACUUUUUACUUGGACUCUGCUACAGUAGCUUCACAUUCUGCUGUCCAACUUUAAAGCCAAAGCUUCUAGUGACCAGCCAGUUUUGAGUUUUUACAACUGUAAUACUGUCGAUUAUGUUAUUGUUAAUACAGGAAAAAAGUGGGACUGUCAGGUAAUAUCUGUGCUGACCUUGCAGUUGCAGUUAUUAUUACUCUGUAGCUGUACUCUAUAGUUAUUACUCUGCUAGAAUCAUUUUACUGUUGAAAAUAAUACUUAUUUAUCUGUUACUGGCCUUUGGUGCAGCUCCCCACUUCAUCUUCUGUCUGAAACAACUGUUUUAACUCCUCUAACAUUAAAGCCAUCCAUGUAUCCUUUUUCUUAUCUAAUUCAGGGUCAAAUGUAAUUGUUGAAUGACAGUUUUAAGCAGUGUCCUUUUUUAUUAUUUUCUAUUUACCCGAGUUUUGAGAUGUACUUAAUCAUGUGGCACCAGAGAAAGAAAACCGAAGAAGAUUCAAAACACUGGACUCACACUGAGUCGUUGUGUCGACAGUGACAGUAGACAAGUUGAUUACAGCGCUGUGUAACAAGUUUACACCUGCCUCUGUCCAGUUUAUCCAAACCUGCUACAUAGGAUUUAAAAUGUUACUUUAAAUCUAAAAUGCUGUCUUCCUGCUGUUCUGUAAAGUAUCACUCCUAAACAGUGUGUGCGUCAGUGUAACAGUGUGUAAUAAUAAUAAUAAUAAUAAUAAUGAUAAUAAUACAGUUUCUUAGUCACUGUAAAGCAGAAAGAAUUAAACUCUUAAUAAAAUGUGACUGACAAGAAAUGUAAUGAGGCAAAUUGUUAAAGGUAUUUUUUGUAAAAAUAAAAAAAAAUCAGAAAAUGUAAUGAAGACAUUUUACAAGAAA